rnacentral:lncRNA from 1 species
AUGGAGGCCUAAGCAUUGGUGGCGGACCAGGUGGCGGACCAGGAAGUACACCGUAGGGUGCCAUAGGCAUUUGAGCUGGAGGUAAUCCUGGAGGAGGAGGUGGAGGGGGCCUGGCAGAAACACCAGGAGCCAUAAAUGGUGGCCUUGAAUCUGGUGGUGGAGGAGGUGGAGGAAAUCUAGCCAUUCCUGGAGUUAGCAUUUCAGGUUGCAUUGGAGGCAUCAUCGGAGGUCUUGGAGGUAGAGGCAGCAUCUGUGAUGGAUGUGGUGGAGGAGGCGGUAAAACCCUUGAGAUUUUAGCAUCUUCGUUAACUACAGGAGCAUCCCUGGCAUUAUUAUCAGCAGCCUGCAUUUCAUUUGAUUUUGGUGGCAGCCUUGGGGGAGGUGGUGGUGGAGGUAGCACAACUGGGGCCUGUGAAAUAAACUUCCUUCAGAGAAAGUUGUAAGGGGAGCCAAAACAAGAGAAGACAAAUUGCUAAUUGAAACAUUAACAGCAAGGGUUUCCUGAGUAUUCAUACAGUUAAACAUAUUGAAAAGUUCAGAGAUGUGUAAAAUGAACUAAGUAGCACCUGUGCAGGAUCAGUCGAGCUUGCACCCUCUCCGACAGCUUGUUUAUUAUCAAGCUCCAUAGUACCGGGUAGGGUUGGUGGUUGCGAAGGCCGCUGUGGCGGAGGUGGAGGUGGUGGCCGUAAUGUAUGACCUAACACAGGUUCUCUAGGAGGUGCGCCAGGAGGAGGUGGAGGUGGCGGAGGUAAGCCUGGUAAUGCUGCAUCACCAGCAGGCUUAGGUGGGGGCGGAGGUGGGGGUGGGGGUAAAGGUAAAGA